rnacentral:lncRNA from 1 species
UUCAUAGAAUGGGUUGGAAGUGACUUCAAGGAUCGUGAAGCUCCAACCCCCCUGCCUCAUGCAGGGCCACCAACCUCCAUAUCUACUACUAGACCAGGCUGCCCAGGACCCCAUCCAACCUGGCCUUGAACAGCUCUAAGUGUUCAAGGCAUCCACAACCUCUCUGGGCAGCCUGUUCCAGCACCUCACCACUCUCUCUGUGAAGAACUUCUGCCUGAUAUCCAACCUAAAUCUUUCCUCCCUCAACUUAAAUUUUUUUUUUUUUCAUUUGUAUGUGUCUUUCAGCUUUUGACAAAUGAGUAAUUACUGCUCCUAAGCUUUAGCCCAGCAAGCAGAUGCAGUGACACACAAGAACCAACUGGAAAAGCAUUGGGUUUGAGCGCUGAGCCAAAGGUGCACUGUGCAUCUUGAUAAAUUCAUAAAUCAGGUGACACUGCAAACCAGCAGCGAGGCCCAGAGCUGGCAGGGAACUUCUGUGUAAGGCAGAGCUGUGACCAGUCACUCACACAGAACUGAAUUGCUCAGAAGAAAAAUAUUUCAGCUGCAUCUGAUGAGGCAUAUGCAUGGCCUUUCAGAGUUUGCACAGUACUGAAUUUCACUGCACUGAUGAUGCUACAAACACAUGUUCUAUAUGGAGAGAAAAACCAUGUUGUGUUCUCCGAAGAUAUGAAGAGAACAAUGUCUGAAGGAAUUAUUCUGGAAUCAUUAAAUAACUAUAGGAGAUUCCUGAAGUAA